rnacentral:rRNA from 1 species
UACGGGGGGAGCAAGCGUUGUUCGGAUUUACUGGGCGUAAAGGGCGCGUAGGCGGCCUUUGCAAGUCGACUGUGAAAUCUCCGGGCUUAACCCGGAAAGGUCAGCCGAUACUGCAGGGCUAGAGUGCAGAAGGGGCAACUGGAAUUCUCGGUGUAGCGGUGAAAUGCGUAGAGAUGUGGAGGAACACCGAUGGCGAAGGCAGCCCCCUGGGCUAACACUGACGCUCAUGCACGAAAGCGUGGGGAGCAAACAGG